rnacentral:lncRNA from 1 species
AGCACUAGAGCAGCCCCCGACUCACUGAGGGCCCCAGAAGACACCGUGACUUGUGCAAGACUCACCGCAGACACACUCGCACGGCCUUGGCACCUAUGCAAAGAGAUGAAAGGAUCUCGACUGGCAUGAAGCGGCACAGACCCUUGUGCCCAAGUUGGUGACAGAGCCUUCGGCAGGGACUCAAGUGGUGAGACCGGCGGCUUCCCCCCGAGGCGGCUGCCCAAGGGACAG